UACGAAGGGAGCAAGCGUUGUUCGGAUUUACUGGGCGUAAAGGGUGCGUAGGCGGCCAGAUAAGUUGGAUGUGAAAGCCCCCGGGCUCAACCCCGGGAAUAGCAUUCAAAAACUAUCAGGCUCGAGUGUGGAAGAGGAUGGUGGAAUUCCCAGUGUAGAGGUGAAAUUCGUAGAUAUUGGGAAGAACACCCGUGGCGAAGGCGGCCAUCUGGUCCACAACUGACGCUGAGGCACGAAAGCGUGGGGAGCAAACAGG
rnacentral:rRNA from 1 species